rnacentral:lncRNA from 1 species
AACUAGGUUAGUCAGAUAUGAGAUUGUACUGAUUUGAAUCUGAUUAGUCAGACAUCAGAUGUGCUAACUUAGAAGAGAUAUGAACCUAAAUCUCCUCAUUAAAUAUUAAGUCUACCGAUCUUCCACCGUUAUAGAGAUGCGGGUGCCUUUUCUGACGUUGAUCGUUCUUGGCUAGUUAUAAUGGUUUGAUUACAUCGGAAGGGCACAAUCACUUUAUUGGCAUUACAUACCUCGGGGUAAAGAUGGGGUUAGGCCCAAUAAUUGUUAG